GAUGAACGCUGGCUACAGGCUUAACACAUGCAAGUCGAGGGGAAACGACGGGGAAGCUUGCUUCCCCGGGCGUCGACCGGCGCACGGGUGAGUAACGCGUAUCCAACCUGCCUCUGACUGAGGGAUAACCCGUCGAAAGUCGGCCUAAUACCUCAUGGCAUCGUCUGCGGGCAUCCAACGACGAUUAAAGAUUUCAUCGGUCAGAGAUGGGGAUGCGUCUGAUUAGCUUGUUGGCGGGGUAACGGCCCACCCAGGCGACGAUCAGUAGGGGUUCUGAGGGGAAGGUCCCCCACAUUGGAACUGAGACACAGUCCAAACUCCUACGGGAGGGAGCAGUAAGGAAUAUUAGUCAAUGGGCGAGAGCCUGAACCAGCCAAGUAGCGUGCAGGAUGACGGCCCUAUGGGUUGUAAACUGCUUUUAUGCGGGGAUAAAGUGAGGGACGUGUCCUUCAUUGCAGGUACCGAAUGAAUAAGGACCGGCUAAUUCCGUG
rnacentral:rRNA from 1 species